AUGACGACGGGCCCACGCGUCAGCGACAACGCUCGUCCUUUUUUAAGCCGACCGUGCGGCGGGGCCGUCCUCAUCCAAACUUGCCGUCCACAUCUGCCAUCCUUUGCCCCCUCGUCGCCGGCAAACCCUAGCCACCACAACCACAGGGAGAUGGGCCUCUUCUCCGGCGCCAGCGGCAGCAAGGCCAAGGGCAAGUCCCCCGCCACCCCUUUCCCCUCAGAGUUCCUCCCACCUCCGCCGGCGCCGGCGCCUCGCCGGCAGAGGCAGCGCGUGAACGUGCUAGUGCACCAGGCGGAGUGGCAUUGGCAGCACCGCCAGCCUCUGCCGUAUCCCGACGUGGCGCUGCCGCACGACUGGCAUCUGGAUCCAGAUAGGAUCCCAGUGCCGGCGGCGCCGCGGACGGCUCGUGCUCGCGCGGAGGAGGUGCGGCGCCGGCGGUCGCUGCUGACGCCGGAGCAGCGCCGCGACCCCGCCUACGCAACCGACUCACCCAACUGGGCGAGGUGGUUCGCCUUCGAGCACGAGGAGGCGAGGCGACGGGGCGUGCGCGAGGUCGGCCGGAGGUCGCCGCCACCGGCGCUCGUCGUCCGCGAGGAGGACCAGGCGGCGGAGGACGCCUACCAGGCGGCCCUUGCGGCCGUCUACCGGGAGAGCGAGGAGGACGAGCGGCGCAAAGCGGAGGCGGCGGAGGCGGAAGAGGAGGCUCGGUACGAGGCGGCAAUGGCGCAGGCCCUCGCCCUCUCCGCGGCAGGCGACAGCGUGGUGCCGCCGGUGGCCCCGCCGUUCCCCAUCAAGCCGGAGCCUGAGCGGGAGCCGUCCCCCAUCAAGCGCUACUCCUUGACGGGAGUAGUGCGCGAAUGGGUACGCGCGCCGCCGGUCUGA
rnacentral:rRNA from 1 species